AUACUGAUCUGGGUUCAGUUGCUGGUGGUCUGGGUUCAGUUCUGCUGGUUCUGCUUCUGUGUUCUGGAACUUUCCUCAUCCUGAAGAAGAGGAAAAGGAAAUGUGAGACAGCUUUACCUCUGCAGAAUGUGCAGCAGAAUACUGAGACUGACUGCAUGUAUGAAGAGAUCCUAAACAGUGAUGUCAUCAUCGCUGCUGAGCCUUCAUCCAAUCAGACGCCAGCAUCAGAUCCCAACACCCGUCCAGAAAAUGCUGUUUACGCUACAGUAACUAAGCAACGUUCUGAUUCAGUCCCCGGUCACACCCACUCAGCCAAUCGGAUGUCAGAUACAGUCAGUGAUUAUUAUGGCAAUAUUACAUCAUCUCAACAAACUCUGAACAACAGAACAGAAACGAUCUAUGCAACAGCAGAUCUUCCACCUAAAAUUUCAAAUAAUGAGGGUCUGAUAUAUUCAGUAAUUAGCCAUAAAUAAAAAGAGUCUCCUACUCUUCCUGAGUGGGUGUAGUUAGGCUAAGUAAAGUCUAGAAGGGAUACAGCUGUGGUUGUCAUGAUCCUGGUGUUUACCUGUCAUGUGCUCCUUGUGCUUUCUGUUAUUGCCAUGCGAUUACUUUGUUCAGUUUUCCCGCCAUUCGUUAGUUUCAUUAUUUCCACCUGUGUCGCACCCCUAUAUGUAUUCAGUUUAAUCAUGUCUGGUAUAUUUUUACCAAUGAGUUUCAUUAGUUCUUUGUCUGGUAAUAAGCGGCGGUCACAUUGGAUUUUUUCCCCCAUAGAUUUCCAUUCAUGCGCACGUGAAUGCGUCAGACCCGAAACACAAGCUCAUGCGGCAAGUUUUGCGAAAUUGCAUCACUUAACUGAGUAAGACUAAUUGAGGAUCAAAACAUGACCUCUCUGGACAGAAAA